GACGAACGCUAGCGGCAUGCCUAAUACAUGCAAGUCGAGCGAAUGAUGAAGAAGCUUGCUUCUUCCGAUUUAGCGGCGGACGGGUGAGUAACACGUGGGCAACCUGCCCUGUAGAUUGGGAUAACUCCGGGAAACCGGGGCUAAUACCGAAUAAUCCAUUUCCUCUCAUGGGGAGAUGUUAAAAGACGGUUUCGGCUGUCACUGCAGGAUGGGCCCGCGGCGCAUUAGCUAGUUGGUGAGGUAACGGCUCACCAAGACUUCGAUGGGUAGCCGGCCUGAGAGGGUGAACGGCCACACUGGAACUGAGACGCGGUCCAG
rnacentral:rRNA from 1 species